rnacentral:rRNA from 1 species
GAUGCUAAUACCGGAUAACAACAGAUGAUGCCUAUCAACUGUUUAAAGUAUGGUUCUGCUAUCACUCUUGGAUGGACCUGCGGUGCAUUAGCUAGUUGGUAGGGUAACGGCCUACCAAGGCGAUGAUGCAUAGCCGAGUUGAGAGACUGAUCGGCCACAUUGGGACUGAGACACGGCCCAAACUCCUACGGGAGGCAGCAGUAGUGAAUCUUCCACAAUGGACGCAAGUCUGAUGGAGCAACGCCGCGUGAGUGAAGAAGGGUUUCGGCUCGUAAAGCUCUGUUGUUGGUGAAGAAGGACAGGGGUAGUAACUGACCUUUGUUUGACGGUAAUCAAUUAGAAAGUCACGGCUAACUACGUGCCAGCAGCCGCGGUAAAU